CGGGUAUGCCGACGCUAAAGAAUCACAGACCGUAGUUCGAUGUAGUUCGAACGAAAAAAACUCUAAAGUUAAAAUUCAAAUGCAGAUUGAUUGUGAGGCCAUCACAGACCCUCAUUCACAACUAGAGACACCAGGGACAGUGGUUGUAGCCAGUCAGGGUACCCAAGCUUGUGGUGAUGAGCUGGUAGUUACUGGAACAUCAGAAGGAAUGCCUAAAGGCACACAAGAUACCCAGGCAGGAAGCCUCAAGAUGGUAGUUACUGGAGCUAAGCGUAAGGCAGUGGAGCUUGCUGCAUCUGCUGGUCUACCACUCGUGGGAAGAACAGAAAGCAUCGAAGAAGCAGGUGUUAAAACUUAUGUUGUACCCAACACACAAGGAGUUCUGGAUUUCAUCGCACACAAGUACUUUCAGACAGUUGACACAACCAAACGUGAGGAACGAACUGAAUUUCUAGAGUAUUUAACAGAUGUGCGCAAGGUUCUUGUCCUGGAUGCCCAGUCAGGAAGUUUGAUAGUAACAGUCCUGUGUACUUCACUAGAGAGACUGGAUUCCCUGUGGUAUGACUAUUGCACAGGUCACCUGAAUGACAUGGCACAGAAAUAUCUUGUGACAAAGGACAUACUGAAGGAGUUUGACUUGACUGAGCUGAGACUGACAACAACUAUUCAGCUGGAGGAGUACAAGGCUGCAUGAAACUUUUUUCUGCAGGGUUCAGCUACAGCUGAUGUUUAUAGUAAUGAGGGUAAUGAGGCCUUCAAGAAAGGAGAUUUCAUCAAUGCUAUUCAUUUUUACACCAGAGGAAUUAAAGUGAACUGCAAUGAGAAAGAACUGGAGGCCAAACUGUACAACAACAGGGCUAUUGCACAUUUUAAACUUGGAAAUCACCAGGAUUCACUUAGGGAUGCAGAAGCAGCCAUUGAGUUAAAUCCAACUUACCUCAAGGCAAUUGUGAGAGGAGCCCUUGCCUGUGUUGAACUGAAGAGAUUUGAACAAGCAAUCACUUGGUGUGAUAAGGGAUUAGCUGUAUCCUUUGAAGAAAUGCUUUAUUUUUAACCGUCGGUAUAAUGAAAAUAUUCCAUAAUUCGAGGUUUUAUGGAAGAAAGUGCAAAGAAGGGUAUUAAUCACGAUGGGAACUUCUCAGCUAGCAAAAUCUUGAAGAGUUUCAAGGAAUCAGUGCGAUAACUUUCAAGUUUUGCGCCAAAAUUAUAAUUCAGUCUCGUUAUAUGAUACUACUUGGGAUAAAAUUACAAACGUUCUUUAUUCUUACCGCCCAAAUUUGCAAUUGUGUUUUAUUAGAACAGUCAAAGGCGAUCUUACCCUGGAUUUACAGAGAUGCAAUCGACCUCAGAAAACGAGAAAAAGAAAUAAAUAUCAUCAAAAGUAUACAAAGUUUGCCUGUAUUACUUCUGAGAUUGCUCCAAUUAGUAUUUGGUAGUGUAUCAGCCGUUAAAUUAUUGCUUCUGAACACUCGCGUGACUCGCGUGUCAAAAUGGCGGACACUAAGUUGAAUUACGUGACUGCGAGUUUUCAAAAUUCCCACCUCUUAAACAGUUUUAAUUUGUCUUUUUUUCCAAAUAAAUAGGAACCUGUGGGAUUACUUUCGUUGAUAGCGGUUGGAACCAGGUAAAGGCUAAGAUGUUUUCGGGCGAAAACCAUGAUAGUGGAAGCAGCUUCGCAGAGACAAAACUUGAUUUAAUCUGCCUAUCACAUCUCUCCUUUUUUUGGCAGCCAUUCCAAGCGGGAAAACAAUAAAAAACGUCUCAAAUAUUCAUAGCGAUAACUGCAUUUUGAUUUGCCUUGUGUUUAGUGGUGGGAAUUUGCUCAAGAAAGCAACCGACGAAUUUGACGCCUAAAUUAACUGUUUUUGGCUGUUGAGAGUAUCAUAUUACGCUGCCACAAUUCAGUCCGAGAGAGAUGGUAGUGAUACACAUUUCUGCCAAGUAUGAGAAAAAUCCCUUGCAAAAUAGCUAAGUUAUUCUAAAUUUUGUGAAAAUAUGGGUUAAAGACAGGGUGACCCAGGCCUUAAUUAACCUGAGAUGGUGAGAUUUUUAGCAGUGGCAGGCAAUUCUUGUUCAACCAUAAGAUCGUUAAUCGUAUUUUUGACGAUGCUUUGGUUAAUUAAAGUGAGAUCUUUGUCGACUUUUGCAUAAAAGGAGGUGUCAGAAAGUUGCCGCAA